UGACCUGCCCACUGAUAUAAUAAAAUUUAAUGGCCGCGGUAUUAAUGACCGUGCAAAGGUAGCAUAAUCAUUAGUCUUUUAAUUGUGGACUUGUAUGAAUGGUUGGACAAAAGGGAAACUGUCUUCUUUAAUAAGGAUUGAAUUUAACUUUUAAGUGAAAAGGCUUAAAUAUUUCAAAGGGACGAUAAGACCCUAUAAAGCUUUAUAAAAAAAUAAAAUUUAGGUUUAAGGUAUUUGUCUAUUAAAGAUUAAGGUUUAUAAAUUUAUUGAGUUGGGGCAACAAAAGUAUAAUUAUUAUUUAAUYGCUUAAUAUUAUUUAUACAAAUAUAUUUGUGUUAUUAU
rnacentral:rRNA from 1 species